GAUGAAGAACGUAGCGAAAUGCGAUACUUGGUGUGAAUUGCAGAAUCCCGUGAACCAUCGAGUCUUUGAACGCAAGUUGCGCCCGAAGCCAUCAGGUUGAGGGCACGUCUGCCUGGGCGUCACAUAUCGUUGCCCAAUGCCUAUUGCAGUGCAAUAGGAAUUUCUAGGGCGAAUGAUGGCUUCCCGUGAGCGUUGUUGCCUCGCGGUUGGUUGAAAAUCGAGUCCUUGGUAGGGUGUGCCAUGGUAGAUGGUGGUCGAGUUAGAACGAUACCGAUCAUGUGCAUGCUCCCCAAAAUAUGGCCUCUAUGACCCACACGCGUCUUUUGACGCUCAUGACGAGACCUCAGGUCAGGCGGGGCUACCCGCUGAAUUUAAGCAUAUCAAUAAGCGAGGA
rnacentral:misc_RNA from 1 species